AUUUCAUAGGUUACAAUCAUCCAUGGAGAUCUAAGUGCCUUCCAGAAGGAAAUGGAAACAGUUCAUCUCGUAGUUCGUAGUCUGGAGACAAAGCUUGGACGCCUAGCUUAUACUCAAGAUCGGACAACACGAGGAAUAUAUGAUUUGUGUGAAUUCACUAAAAGAUUGGAUCAGAGCCCGAAAGCUGAUACUCGUCAGGCAAG